rnacentral:rRNA from 1 species
CCUACGGGGUGCUGCAGUGAGGAAUAUUGGUCAAUGGGCGAGAGCCUGAACCAGCCAAGUCGCGUGAGGGAGUACUGCCCUAUGGGUUGUAAACCUCUUUUGUCGGGGAGCAAAAGCCGGACGUGUCCGGCUGUGAGAGUACCCGAAGAAAAAGCAUCGGCUAACUCCGUGCCAGCAGCCGCGGUAAUACGGGGGAUGCGAGCGUUAUCCGGAUUUAUUGGGUUUUAAGGGUGCGCAGGCGGAUUUUUAAGUCAGCGGUAAAAUCGUGGGGCUCAACCCCAUCCAGCCGUUGAAACUGGGGAUCUAGAGUGUGCGAGAGGUAUGCGGAAUGCGUGGUGUAGCGGUGAAAUGCAUAGAUAUCACGCAGAACCCCGAUUGCGAAGGCAGCAUACCGGUGCACAACUGACGCUCAGGCACGAAAGCGUGGGUAUCGAACAGGAUUAGAUACCCGAGUAGUC